CCCGAAUCCCCUUAUAUCAAUCCCCUUUAAUCCAAAUUUUAUAAAAUUGACGACACGAUUCAAUUAUGAAGACCAAUAUUCCUAAUUUGUUUAACAAUCUUUCUCGAGUAGAAUUAAACCUAUUUUUACAUGCGACUUGACUAUAUUUUUAUGACGGAUGCGAAUAUAUAAAAAUGCAUUAAAAAUUUAUGAAUACUUAAAGAUCAAGUAAAGUAUAGCGGUAUAUUUUUAUCCCCUAUCGGACUUUACGACAAUUAACAUAAUGUCUAACUUAUUUUCCAUCUUCCAAGGGUAAAACAAGCCACAAAACUCAUACAACUAUUGCACAUAUAAUUGUAGAAAAAAUAAAAUUCAUAUCAAUCAUUUAAUAAUUAAAAACGUGUUUUAACGUCAAAAUAAAUAAAACUCAAGAUUAAAGGUUCAUAAUAUAAGGUUCAUUGCAAAUCCUAGUACAAAAUAAUCUAGCCGAACAUAAUGUUAAAAUUAAAAAAAUAAAGUGGAAAAAUAUCACCAAAAAUCGACCAAACAUGAAUGAUUCCCACUUAAUCUUCAUCUACAGUCACGUGUAUGUUGCAAAUCCAAUUACUGGUUUUGGUUUCACCUCCCAGCAGCUGGUUCCAUUCCUCAAUUACUCCAAUUGAGCCGCCGUUGUUGGCAUUUAAUUCCUAGCCUCCAAUCUGCUGAAUUCUGUGGGAAUUAUCUCUUAAAAAUCAACUCUUGCAACCGACCAAUAUAAUCCCAGCAGCUGGGCGACUUCUACCUCUUUCCAUCCUUCAAUCUGCCCUUUUUUUAUCUCCAAAUUUCUGCCCCUUUUCGAGACUUUUGUGGGAAUUAUAUUUAUAUAUGUGUUUAGGUCAACUUUUCAC
rnacentral:lncRNA from 1 species